UGAAAGCCCUGGACACCCAUGCCUCUUCAGCGGGCGGACGAGACAGCGACUGCGCGAGCAGGUCAUGCUUUUAGUACAUGCCCUUUAUAGUCAUCUUGAGGAGUGGUGUGGUGCACAGCCUGAGCUCUGCCCUGAGGAGGCCAUGAGUGCUGGGGUCUGGACCUCACAUGACAGAGAGCAGAAAGGCCAUCAUUCUGAGUCCAGGAAGAUGGCUCAGUGGUGAGAAGCAGAGAGAGACCCUCUCCUAUACUUGUUAAAAAUUGAAGCUCAUUGAGGGAGUGAAGAAAAUCACUCCAAAAAAGAAUCAGCGAACCACAGUGUCUGGCAGAGACCACCGCGACUCCAGCUUCCAGGACAGCCUCGUAUUUAUGGAAUGACAAAAACCGAAGCCCGUUGA